rnacentral:lncRNA from 1 species
UGCAUGGGCAAUUUGUGUCUACAAUUUUAAGACAAGGGAUUUUCUAAUGGCUUCAAGGAAUUUUUUUUUCCCCUCCAGAUAAAAUGACAAGCUUCCAGCCUUCGGACUUGGAAAGGAAGGGAAGUUACUUAAAUCUAGUAUCUUCCAUAUGCCUGGGGCUAUUUCAAGAACAACAAAUCUCUGCAUGUUUAAAAACAGUGCUGUGGAAAUUAGAGCUACAGCAUUUUGUUCUGAAAAUAACUUGGACAGGAGAGGUGAACCAGUGGUACAUGUGCGGGCAAAGCUCUCUGACUUCACUGCACAAUCGUCUCUUCCUCUUAAACAACCAGCUCCCAGUUACCACAAUACCCCUGUGUACAGAGGAAAGCCAAAAUUAAAAGGUCUCUUUAAUACUCCAGGUAAGAUUCCAGUUAAAUUCAGGGCUAAAGAGAAGGCAUUCUGGUUGGUGA